GAUGAACGCUGGCGGCGUGCUUAACACAUGCAAGUCGAACGGGAAACCUUUUAUUGCAGCUUCGGCAGAUUUAGCUGGUUUCUAGUGGCGGACGGGUGAGUAACGCGUGGGUAACCUGCCUUAUACAGGGGGAUAACAGUCAGAAAUGGCUGCUAAUACCGCAUAAGCGCACAGAGCUGCAUGGCUCAGUGUGAAAAACUCCGGUGGUAUAAGAUGGACCCGCGUUGGAUUAGCUGGUUGGUGGGGUAACGGCCCACCAAGGCGACGAUCCAUAGCCGGCCUGAGAGGGUGAACGGCCACAUUGGGUCUGAGACACGGCCCAGACUCCUACGGGAGGCAGCAGUGGGGAAUAUUGCACAAUGGGGGAAACCCUGAUGCAGCGACGCCGCGUGAAGGAAGAAGUAUCUCGGUAUGUAAACUUCUAUCAGCAGGGAAGAUAAUGACGGUACCUGACGAAGAAGCCCCGGCUAACUACGUG
rnacentral:rRNA from 1 species